CCGAGUGAGGGCCUCCGUGCCCAACCUCCCAACCCUUUGUUAAUGAAUACUUGUUGCCUCGGGGGGCGACCCGGACUCGCGCCGGGAGUCCCCCAGAGGUCUACCAAACACUGCAUCUUUGCGUCGAGUAUUUUAAUUAAAUCAAUUA
rnacentral:misc_RNA from 1 species